UGCGGUAUAUUAUCCGUAAUUCUCACUUUAUAGAACUCCAUCAUUAAUUUGUUUCUAAAAGCACCAAGCAAUCAUCACCUAAUAUCAUAAUGCGAAUUAUCUUUAUUUUCUCUGUAUGAUAGUUUCUAUGUUUGCAGAUCUUUCCAAUGUUGCUGUGGUAGUGAUUACAAAUGAGAUAGCAAUAUUGCAUACGUAUGUGUGUGGAUAUCAAAAACGCUUUAUCAAUCCAUGUACGAUGAUAUUUGGAAUUUGAUAUUGUAUAAAAGUACUAAAACAACGUAUGAUGGUUGAAAUCCCGAGACAUGUCAGUACAUACUACAAUUAUAUCGGAUUUGUUUGAGGUAAAAAGUUAAAUUUCUUUCUUUCUUUGAAUUGAAGCCUGUGAGAUUGGGUAUUUCGAGAUAGAUUGUACACAGUAAUGCUCCUUCCUUUUCUUGGGAAAGGGAUGUCAGUUAUCGUAGAUUAGGGUAAUCAUGCAAAAGGAUGCCCAAUAAAGGUGUAAGAAAAAGUAAUUAUCAAAAUAUAUGGAACUUAGAGACAGCAUGGAAUAUUGCACAAUGAUUAUCGUAAAAAGAUUUACUUGUUUAGGUUUCAGAUUGUACCUCAGGUUACAUUGUAUGUAGUUGACUUUAGUGAAGUUAAUACAUUUCUUCUCUAUCAUACAUGUACUAAUUUGUGCCUACUUCUAUGUAACAAGUAGAUGAAUAUGCUUUACAACUAACGAAAUAAAAUGGUCAUUUAAAAGUAAAUAGAAAUUAAGGAUACAAUGACGUGUUAAAGCAAUUCUGAAAGAUAUUGUCACGGAAGUGGUAACAACGCCUGCUCCAAAGUCCAGGAUGACCCAUAACAUUUUCGUAUCACUGCUGAUGUACAAGGAAGACUUCCAUCAAGAGACACUUCACCUGUUCUAUCUACGAUUCGAGAGAUGCAGAAAGAUUGUCCGUCAGGCUAUGUAGGUGAUGUUUGUGACUUGAAAUGCCGGUAUCCAAGUUUUUGUACGGACUGUCAGAAUAAAUGUUUGUGUGAACAGGAGACGUGUGAUCCAGCAAAUGGAUGCCAAGAAACGUCAAUACAAAGUCACGCUGCAUCAAUGCGGGAAAAUUUGAACGAGAAGGAAAGAGGCAUGGUUGUCAGCAUUACGAGGCUAUGACUACUGUUUCUUAUCUUGACAGCUAUUUAUAUCUGGGUAUCUCAUCGCAUUCAUGUAGAAACAAAGAAUCGUGGCAAAGUAAUAGAAUAUUUAGAUAAGAACUCUGCAGUAUGAAGAACGGUUGAUCUGUUGUUACAAAGUGCAGUGUAUCUGGACAUGGUGUGUAAUGUCUGUUUUUGUAUUUACCUAUGUUUUGUAAUUGAGAGACUUUUCAUACUUUAUUAUAUAUAAUUGUAUAUGUAAUCUGUGA